rfam:Pan troglodytes isolate Yerkes chimp pedigree #C0471 (Clint) chromosome 18, whole genome shotgun sequence.
GCUGGGCGUGGUGGUGUGUGCCUGUAGUCCUAGCUGCUUGGGAGGCUGAGGCAUGAGGAUUACUUGAGCCCAGGAGCUCAAAGUUGCAGUGAGCUGUAAUCAUGCCACUGCACUCCAGCCUGGGCGACAGAGUGAGACCCUGACUCUA